GGCUGAAAUUUUAAGUGCAUUAACAUCCCCCUCCUCUGAUUCUGAGAAGCCCUUGUCCUCUGUGCAGUCAGAUGACGUUUUUGAUCUGCCACUGGAGGAAAGUGAUGUUUGAUGCAGUAUUUCAUAAGUUAUUACACAAGUUCGAAAGUAUUUUAAAUCAUCAAACACAGAUUUCUUUUAAAACUAGGUUUUUUUUAAUUUGUUUUUAAAACUGUGCAUUCUCUGUCAGUUAAGCAGCAGGUACUGCUUUUAAAAGCCAACUACAGAUAUGAAUAUUGUGACUACUAGCUUUGAACACAUUAAUUUCCCCCCAAAAAACAUCUUUAUAGAAAUUUAAUCCGUUGAUAUUUCACUUCAUAAAUGUUUAAUUAUAACAUAGCUAUACUCCUUUAUACAUUUGUGAAUAAAAGGCAGUCAAUGAGUUCGUACUUAACAAACUAUGAAGCCCGUUUUCACGGACAGCUAUGAUAUAUUUCCUUAUUUAAAAGGUCCCAAUCCACUGUUAGAUUGCAUGAAAACUUAAAACCUUUUGAUUUAGUUUUAUGUAAUGAAUAAAAAUAUGCGUCCAAGCUUUUGCUUUUUUUUUUUGGUUUUAGAAACUGAUACUUCAAAAAUUAAUUGGUUAAUGUAUGCAUGGUUUUUUUUAGUAGAUUUUAGUUCAUUUAAUACAUUACAUAUGAAUUUUGUAUCUGACAUAAAAAUUCACACCUCUGCUGUAAAAAAUCAUAAAAAUAAGUAUGUAGCGAUGUCAGUCUGUUACUUGGUAAAUUACAUAAAACGAUUAAUGUAGUGAUGUCGGUCAAGAGGAAAUGACAUGUAUACUUGUAUGGGUUAUAUUAUGAAAAGUUGUUUUUCUGUAUUAAUCCGUUCAUAUCAUUGGUACUUAAAGACGUUUUAUCAGAUGUUUAUUUCGUAUUACCUUAAACUAUUUGUACUUAAUGUUAAUUUAUAUGAAUUAUAUUAUGGUGCCAUUGGAGUUAUUUAGUGCAAUCUUAUGUUUUUAACAUGAUAUUUAUUUAUAAAAAACCCUUUAAUUUGUUGAUUCUGUUUAUUUUACCCGAGUUUUAUCUAUACUUGAAUAUCAUUUUUUUUUUAAACGCAUACAUAAGAUGUAUUAUUUGAGAAUUAAGAAGUUGUUAAUUUCUCAUUCAUAUAUCAAAUAAAAAUCAUGCUA
rnacentral:misc_RNA from 1 species